CUCUCCAUAGUUCAAUGGAUAGAACGAGUGCCUCCUAAGCGCUAGAUACAGGUUCGAUUCCUGUUGGAGGGACCA
rnacentral:tRNA from 1 species